GACGAACGCUGGCGGCGUGCCUAAUACAUGCAAGUAGAACGCUGAAGGAGGAGCUUGCUUCUCUGGAUGAGUUGCGAACGGGUGAGUAACGCGUAGGUAACCUGCCUGGUAGCGGGGGAUAACUAUUGGAAACGAUAGUUAAUACCGCAUAAGGGUAGAUGUUGCAUGACAUUUGCUUAAAAGGUGCAAUUGCAUCACUACCAGAUGGACCUGCGUUGUAUUAGCUAGUUGGUGGGGUAACGGCUCACCAAGGCGACGAUACAUAGCCGACCUGAGAGGGGGGUCGGCCACCCUGGGACUGGGACACGGCCCAGACUCCUACGGGAGGCAGCCGUAGGGAAUCUUCGGCAAUGGACGGAAGUCUGACCGAGCAACGCCGCGUGAGUGAAGAAGGUUUUCGGAUCGUAAAGCUCUGUUGUAAGAGAAGAACGAGUGUGAGAGUGGAAAGUUCACACUGUGACGGUAUCUUACCAGAAAGGGACGGCUAACUACGUG
rnacentral:rRNA from 1 species